ensembl:lncRNA
GUGCACUCAACACAUGUCCCUUGGGAACCUGACUGAAUGUAAUGACCUUGUGAUGGAUUUCAAGAAUUUUGAGGUGUGUGUGUGUGUGUGUGUUUGUGUGUGUGUGUGCUGUUUGGUCUUUGUUCACAGAGUGUGCUGAAUCGACACAGUCUUGUCAGACAUAGUGAGCCAUCGAUCCAGUAGUGACACCCCUGAUCCUUGGUACACACUCAUAUCCUCAGAGGUUGAGGUAUGUGCUGAGAGUUGCAGAGGACUCAAAAUUGCUGAGACAGAGAGAGUACGCACUCAUGUAUGGAUAAAACAUUUCUUGUUGCAGGGAGAGAAGAGUGUCUCUGUAGACCUGAAACAGCCUGCCAACGCCCCACACAAAACCCUGCAGAGCUACUAGAGCGUCCACAGUGACAAUAAAGCUCACUUCAGACUGAGGGUGUCAGAAAUGUUGCAAAUUUGGCUUGUGAUGCAAAAGAACUGCUGUUGGCCACCCAGCAAAUGUGAUUGAACCGAGACAAGUAAUUCAUACAGGGAGUUUCUGGCUGCUCUCCACAGUAGUCCCAGAUCUUGUGCGUCUCACUGGGUGUGUGCUUGUACUGAAGGUCGUCCAGACCGUUCUGUUGUUCCAUUGCAGGGAACACAUUAAGCACUGGAAGGGGUCUCUGCCAGCUCCUGUAGUCACAGACAUGUUAAGUUCGCUUGUGAAGGGCAUUUGUGUUUCAUUUCCUCUCGCCCUCUCCCUGGCAUCAGCCAUUGACGCAGCUUCCUGCUGAGAGGAAAUUAAAAUUACGAUUUAUUGAAAUUGUUUCAUUAUAUAGGAAGAGUAAUAAAGAAAUCACUCAAGUGUAAAUCUUCA